rnacentral:rRNA from 1 species
UCUUGACAUCCAGAGAACUUGGCAGAGAUGCCUCGGUGCCUUCGGGAACUCUGAGACAGGUGCUGCAUGGCUGUCGUCAGCUCGUGUUGUGAAAUGUUCGGGUUAAGUCCCGCAACGAGCGCAACCCCUAUCCUUUGUUGCCAGCGAUUCGGUCGGGAACUCAAAGGAGACUGCCGGUGAUAAACCGGAGGAAGGUGGGGAUGACGUCAAGUCAUCAUGGCCCUUACGAGUAGGGCUACACACGUGCUACAAUGGCGUAUACAAAGAGAAGCGACCUCGCGAGAGCAAGCGGACCUCAUAAAGUACGUCGUAGUCCGGAUUGGAGUCUGCAACUCGACUCCAUGAAGUCGGAAUCGCUAGUAAUCGUAGAUCAGAAUGCUACGGUGAAUACGUUCCCGGGCCUUGUACACACCGCCCGUCACACCAUGGGAGUGGGUUGCAAAAGAAGUAGAUAGCUUAACCUUCGGGAGGGCGUUUACCACUUUGUGAUUCAUGACUGGGGUGAAGUCGUAACAAGGUAGGCGUACGUGU